rnacentral:rRNA from 1 species
GGCUCAGGAUGAACGCUAGCGGCAGGCUUAAUACAUGCAAGUCGAGGGGCAGCAUGACUGUAGCAAUACAGUUGAUGGCGACCGGCAAACGGGUGCGGAACACGUACAGAACCUUCCUUCGAGCGGGGAAUAGCCCAGAGAAAUUUGGAUUAAUACCCCAUAGUAUAUUAGAGUGGCAUCACUUUGAUAUUAAAGAUUUAUCACUUGAAGAUGGCUGUGCGGCUGAUUAGGUAGUUGGCGGGUAACGGCCCACCAAGCCUUCGAUCAGUAACUGGUGUGAGAGCACGACCAGUCACACGGGCACUGAGACACGGGCCCGACUCCUACGGGAGGCAGCAGUAAGGAAUAUUGGUCAAUGGACGAAAGUCUGAACCAGCCAUGCCGCGUGGAGGAUGAAGGUCCUCUGGAUUGUAAACUUCUUUUAUAUGGGACGAAAAAAGGGUUUUCUAACUCGUCUGACGGUACCAUAUGAAUAAGCACCGGCUAACUCCGUG